GUAAUGUGGAUUAAUAGUUUUAUUGUACUCUUGUGAUUAGUUUCUGUUGAUUCUAAUUUCUUAUCCACUCGUUCCUGACCUUGAGGUAAAAAAAACACGGAAGAUGUAUUCCUUCAAUUUAAUGCCAGUUUGAGGUGUUUCUCCUGCAUCAUCAGAUCAAUGAAAAGUAAAUAGCCUCUACUUCUUGUUUCCCUGUGUGGUAUUGAUCUUUCUUCAGCUUUUGCUUCCCUUUCUCCCUGCGUCUUGUGUCUUUCAACCCCUGGGACUGAAGUGAUUGCCAUAGAUUGGACACGCUAACAAGCGCAUGAUAAGGAACGGGUUUUGUGGCAUACUCACAGACACAUGCCUGGUAUAUAAAGCCUGCUUCUGCAUCGAAAGAAAGGUGCCAUUUUGUGUGCAGGGCACAAGCCACUAAGAGAGAGAACUAGGAGGAAAAACACAAACCAGGAAGGAAGAUGUUUUUGUUCUCCCAAAUCUUUGCAGUUAGUGCUAAAUUAGGCGAUGAAACUCCUUUGAAAAGUAAGAGACAAAGUGGCCUGUGGGAAAAUGGCAUACGCUCUUAGCUUUAGCAAAUGACGGGAUGUUGGCAGCCUGUGGCUUUUUUAAAAUUUUUGCUGCGUCCAGCGCAGCUCGGGACUGUGUCUGAAGAAGGGCGAUGCAAGACUUAAGAAACAAAGGGACAAAGUAAAGAGCAAAGAUGGGACCAGGAGACUCAAGAGCUCGUGGAUCCAGAGUCCUGAAAUCCUGGUUGACAUCAGAUUUAUUAGGAGUACACAACUCAGAAAACAAUGCGAUCAAAGAGCUUCCUCAAAAAGAACAAUGGCCUUAGGUUGUAUUGUCUUCUGAAAUGUUAUGCUCAAUCUUCACAUGAUUAAGUAAGUAAACAUUAUCAACUGGAAAAUUCACUUACGAAUCUAGAUUUUUGACCCAUUUGGAUAAAUAGGACUUUUAAUAUGUCCUCUAUAAUUCUGUACAUUAAUAGUGCA